GAGGCUAGCCUGAGCUAAAUAGGAUGUACCUGAACAUCUAGGCUCUGUACGUAGCCAGGCUCUUUAUAUAGUCAGACACUGUCUGAAAAAUGCGUAUAAAAAGUAAAAAUAAAACCCAAACAUUUGCUCUCAGAAGAUAGCAAAUUUAAUAAUGUGCAUCAAUUUCAGCAUUAAAAUUAUUGAGGUCAUUUUGCUGUGAAAAUAAUUUCCUAGAAGUUCAAAUAAGUUUCAUAUGGUGAAGACAAGGAUUAGAUUUUAUUUUCCCUAUAUAACAUCAGGCCAGUAAGUAACCUAAACUGGGUCACUGCUGACUGACAGGGAAGUGAAAUCUAUGUUUGAAAUACAGACUCACCAUAAAUCUAAAUUACUGAAACCUAGACAGAUUUUUUUUUGAGACAGAGCUUCUCUGUGUAGCCCUGGCUGUCCUGGAACUCCCGCUGUAGACUAGGCUGGCCUCGAACUCACAGAGAACUGCCUGCCUCCGCCUCCCAAGGGCUGGGAUUAAAGGAACGUGCACCACCACCUUCCAGCACAAUCUUUUCUCCAUUUAUUCAUAUUUUUUCCCUCCUUUUUGCUAUCUUGCUCUUUGGAUGCUCUAUGCAUGGCUAUCUGGCACGUUGGUAGCCCUGAACUUGGGAGGGCCACUGAAGCAGGAAGGUCCAGCACAUCUCUGAAAACAUAUAUGUAUAUGUAUAUAUUUAUUUAUUUAAUUAUCAUGUUUUUAGACAUUACCCCUGGAAUGGAAGUGGCUAUGCCGACCAGGCUGGCCUUGAACUCAUAGAAAUCUACCUGCUUCGGAAGCCACGGCGCUAGGACCAAAGAGGACCUGUUUGUUUCUCAGCACCAUGUGGUCAUUCACAACCAUCUCCAGCUCCAUUUCCGGGGGAUCUGACGCCCUCUUCUGACCUCCGGGGGCACUAGGCAUGCAUGCAGUACACACACCUACAGGCAGAUGAAUGAUCUGAGCUGAUAAAAUCAGUGUAAACCCCACUCUCUGAGCUGCCUUCUGACAUGCCCGAAGCUGAACCCGGAAGAGGAAUCAACUCAAAUUGAACUUUAAAGAUUCUGAGUCAGUGAA